rnacentral:rRNA from 1 species
UACAGAGGGUGCGAGCGUUAAUCGGAAUUACUGGGCGUAAAGCGCGCGUAGGCGGCUUUGCAAGUCGGGUGUGAAAUCCCCGGGCUUAACCUGGGAAUGGCAUACGAUACUGGUUAUCUAGAGUUGAGUAGAGGGAAGUGGAAUUUCCGGUGUAGCGGUGAAAUGCGUAGAUAUCGGAAGGAACACCAGUGGCGAAGGCGGCUUCCUGGACUCAAACUGACGCUGAGGCGCGAAAGCGUGGGUAGCAAACAGG